GUCACUUUGGCGGAGUGGUUAACGCGCUGCCCUGCUAUGUCUCAUAGCAAGUUUAGGCAGUUCCUUCGGGAGCGUAGGUUCGAAUCCUACAGGUGACG
rnacentral:tRNA from 1 species